AUUGAACGCUGGCGGCAGGCUUAACACAUGCAAGUCGAGCGGAGAUGAGGUGCUUGCACCUUAUCUUAGCGGCGGACGGGUGAGUAAUGCUUAGGAAUCUGCCUAUUAGUGGGGGACAACAUUCCGAAAGGAAUGCUAAUACCGCAUACGUCCUACGGGAGAAAGCAGGGGAUCUUCGGACCUUGCGCUAAUAGAUGAGCCUAAGUCGGAUUAGCUAGUUGGUGGGGUAAAGGCCUACCAAGGCGACGAUCUGUAGCGGGUCUGAGAGGAUGAUCCGCCACACUGGGACUGAGACACGGCCCAGACUCCUACGGGAGGCAGCAGUGGGGAAUAUUGGACAAUGGGGGGAACCCUGAUCCAGCCAUGCCGCGUGUGUGAAGAAGGCCUUAUGGUUGUAAAGCACUUUAAGCGAGGAGGAGGCUACUGAGACUAAUACUCUUGGACAGUGGACGUUACUCGCAGGAUAAGCACCGGCUAACUCUGUGCCAGCAGCCGCGGUAA
rnacentral:rRNA from 1 species